ACCUCCAGGAUUCCCACCAACUUCCAGCCAUGAAGAUCUUUUGCCUCCUCUCUGUUGCCGUCCUCUUCUUGAUGCUGCUGGCUCCAGAUUUCACCAGAGCCCAAGGUAAUUGCAGGCCAAGAUGUCAAAGGCAGGGAGGGAUACUGCAAUUUCGUAGGUGCCGGCCGCCCCAAAACACACUUUUUCGGUGUGGUCGCCAAUGGUGUUGCCGCAGAGGAUACUAACUCUGCAGAUCUCC